rnacentral:rRNA from 1 species
UGCUUGGGAACUUGCCUUUGCGAGGGGAAUAACCACUGGAAACGGUGGCUAAUACCGCAUAAUGUCUACGGACCAAACAGGGCUUUCGGGCUCUGGCGCAAAGAGAGGCCCAAGUGAGAUUAGCUAGUUGGUGAGGUAAGAGCUCACCAAGGCAACGAUCUCUAGCUGUUCUGAGAGGACGAUCAGCCACACUGGGACUGAGACACGGCCCAGACUCCUACGGGAGGCAGCAGUAGGGAAUCUUGCACAAUGGGCGAAAGCCUGAUGCAGCGACGCCGCGUGGGGGAUGAAGGCCUUCGG